rnacentral:rRNA from 1 species
UACGAAGGGGGCUAGCGUUGCUCGGAUUGACUGGGCGUAAAGGGCGCGUAGGCGGUUUGCACAGUCAGACGUGAAAUUCCUGGGCUCAACCUGGGGGCUGCGUUUGAUACGUGUAGACUUGAGUGCGGAAGAGGGUCGUGGAAUUCCCAGUGUAGAGGUGAAAUUCGUAGAUAUUGGGAAGAACACCGGUGGCGAAGGCGGCGACCUGGUCCGAUACUGACGCUGAGGCGCGAAAGCGUGGGGAGCAAACAGG